AACGUACGCUGGCGGCACGCCUAACACAUGCAAGUCGAACGAAGUAGCAAUACUUAGUGGCAGACGGGUGAGUAACAUGUAGGUAUCUGCCCUUUGGCCUGGAAUAACACGAGGAAACUUGUGCUAAUACCGGAUAAGUCUUUACGGAGAAAGCUUUAUGCACCAUUGGAUGAGCCUGCACUUGAUUAGUUUGUUGGUGGGGUAAUGGCCUACCAAGACUGUGAUCAAUAGCUGAUUUGAGAGGAUGAUCAGCCACAUUGGGACUGAGACACGGCCCAAACUCCUACGGGAGGCAGCAGUGGGGAAUCUUGCACAAUGGAGGAAACUCUGAUGCAGCGAUGCCGCGUGAGUGAAGAAGGCCCUUGGGUUGUAAAGCUCUUUCGUCGGGGAAGAAAAUGACUGUACCCGAAUAAGAAGGUCCGGCUAACUUCGUGCCAGCAGCCGCGGUAAUACGAAGGGACCUAGCGUAGUUCGGAAUUACUGGGCUUAAAGAGUUCGUAGGUGGUUGAAAAAGUUAGUGGUGAAAUCCCAGAGCUUAACUCUGGAACUGCCAUUAAAACUUUUCAGCUAGAGUAUGAUAGAGGAAAGCAGAAUUUCUAGUGUAGAGGUGAAAUUCGUAGAUAUUAGAAAGAAUACCAAUUGCGAAGGCAGCUUUCUGGAUCAUUACUGACACUGAGGAACGAAAGCAUGGGUAGCGAAGAGGAUUAGAUACCCUCGUAGUCCAUGCCGUAAACGAUGUGUGUUAGACGUUGGAAAUUUAUUUUCAGUGUCGCAGGGAAACCGAUAAACACACCGCCUGGGGAGUACGACCGCAAGGUUAAAACUCAAAUGAAUUGACGGGGACCCGCACAAGUAGUGGAGCAUGUGGUUUAAUUCGAAGAUACGCGCAGAACCUUACCAACACUUGACAUGUUCGUCGCGACUCUAAGAGAUUAGAGUUUUCGGUUCGGCCGGACGAAACACAGGUGCUGCAUGGCUGUCGUCAGCUCGUGUCGUGAGAUGUUGGGUUAAGUCCCGCAACGAGCGCAACCCUCACUUUUAGUUGCCAUCAUUAAGUUGGGCACUCUGAAAGAACUGCCAGUGAUAAGCUGGAGGAAGGUGGGGAUGACGUCAAGUCCUCAUGGCCCUUACGUGUUGGGCUACACACGUGCUACAAUGGUAUCUACAACAGGAAGCAAGACUGCGAAGUUAAGCAAAUCCCUAAAAGAUACCUCAGUUCGGAUUGCACUCUGCAACUCGAGCGCAUGAAGCUGGAAUUACUAGUAAUCGUGGAUCAGCGUGCCACGGUGAAUGCGUUCCCGGGUCU
rnacentral:rRNA from 1 species